rnacentral:rRNA from 1 species
UGCCAGCAGCCGCGGUAAUACGGAGGGGGCGAGCGUUAUUCGGAAUUACUGGGCGUAAAGGGUGCGUAGGCGGCCCAUCAAGUUAGACGUGAAAGCCCGGGGCUCAACCCCGGAAGUGCAUUGGAAACUGGCGAACUUGAGUACGGGAGAGGAAAGUGGAAUUCCGAGUGUAGGGGUGAAAUCCGUAGAUAUUCGGAGGAACACCAGUGGCGAAGGCGGCUUUCUGGACCGAUACUGACGCUGAGACGCGAAAGCGUGGGGAGCAAACAGGAUUAGAUA